AAAAAUGCAUAUUUUAAGCAAGAUGUAUAUAGUGCACCCAGAGAAUCGUCCUUGUAACAUUUGGAGAUAAGUGAAAAACGACAUCAAGGAUGAAAUGUUGACAGAUAAACUUGCCUUAAUCUAACCCCAAACAGGCAUAGUUUAUACGUAACAAGUCGUGCAGUAAUAUACAACUCAAUCCUAUAGGAGAAAGAACAAAAAGAGCUCACUAAAAGUUUACAGUGUUCCAAUCUUUUCCUCUGCAACGAUUUCCUUUGGCCGAACCCAAGCCCUUCCCCUAUGCUUAUGGCUGAAAUUCCAUCGUAGUUGUUUGUUUUCUGCAUGAAGUCAGGGAUCUCAUGGCUUACGCCACCAGAUAGAACUCUCAGCAUGUCUCACUCGUCACCACUGACCAGAAGAUGCUCUAGGUUUUCCCUUUGUAGAAUUUAGAUACUGUGAGACAAAGAGCACUCCCAUUACAAUUAUAAGGCAGCCAACGAGUGUGCUAAAGAAGAGCGCACCAGGUUGCCUAGUUUGAACGAAACCAUAAACUCCACUUGAUGUGACAAGGAUAAGAUCAGUUAAUCCAUCAUUUGAGAAGUCUUCGGACACCAAAGCGUGAGUGGGAGGUGCUGGGAGGUCAAUAGUAGUCAACACACUCCCUCCAGGAGAUAAUAUUACAGCUUCUUGGUCUCCUGCUGCAAGGAUCAGUUCUUGACUGUCAUGUACCCGUAGAGGAAAUGCCUUCAGGGUUGGGACAACUUUACCAGCUUCCAUCAUCCCCGCUGGCGAUUGAAGGUUUGACCAUGUGGCACCCGUCAAUACCUGCCAAUUCCACAGAGCACCAUGUCCAUGCAAGCCCGGUGAAUACGAUGUUACCUCGCCACGGUUUGUCAAGAAGACAACAUCUCCAUGGCUUCCCUUACGAUGUCGAUGGCCAUCAUUUCUGGGGAUGAGGAUAGGCGUUGCUACCUCCAGUGAACUUGCAUCAAAAGUGUGACCAAAUCCUCUGGAGAAUUCACCAGCCUGGAAUAAGUUAAAAGGAGAAUGACGACAAAUAGAAGCAUUGAAAAGCUGUUGCCACCUCUGGUGUUCCAGUGCGAGAACAGCUUUUCAAUGCUU
rnacentral:misc_RNA from 1 species